AUGAGAGACCUCCACCUCCCGCUGAACCAGACCCAGAGGGUCCGCCUCGAGGCCGCGCUCCACGAGCUCCAGACCCUCGCCCCCGCGGCCGCGUCCGCCGCCGCCGUCACCGUCGCGGACAACAUCCCCGUCAACCACGAGGACAACAUCCUCAAAGGGCAUGGUACCACGGACCAGGAUGGGGAGGUGGUGGCGACGCUGUGCGGCGUCGUGGAGCGGGUCAACAAGCUCGUCUACGUGCGGACGCUCCGGGCGAGGUAUAAGCCAGAGGUUGGUGAUAUCAUAGUUGGCCGUGUCAUCGAGAUUGCUCCAAAGCGCUGGCGGUUGGAGAUAAACUUUAGUCAAGAUGCUGUUUUGAUGCUUUCUUCGAUGAAUUUGCCUGAUGGAAUUCAGAGAAGAAGAACUGCGGUUGAUGAGCUUAAUAUGCGGGCUAUAUUUGAAGAAAAUGAUGUUGUCUGCGCUGAAGUUCGUGGUUUCCAACAUGAUGGAUCUCUUCAUCUACAAGCAAGGAGUCAAAAAUAUGGAAAGCUUCAGAGAGGUCAAUUGCUCACGGUGCCUGCGUAUCUGGUAAAACGCCGGAAGCUGCAUUUCCAUCAUCUAGAGCAGUAUGACGUGGACCUGAUCCUUGGCUGCAACGGUUUCAUCUGGGUCGGUGAGCACGUCGUGGUGCGUGAAAUUGCUGAUUUGAAGGAAGACGAACAGAAGCUGAGCGCCGAAGCGGAGACUUUUACCCCAAUAGAAACAAGGAGACACAUUUGCCGUCUUGCCAAUGCUGUGCGCGUGCUUUCAGCCCUAGGAUUCACUCUGACCGUCGAGCUGAUAAUUCAGACCGCAGAAGCGAGCGUAUCAUCAAAUGUCGAGAUAAACGACAUGCUCGGGGCCGAAUUCUACGUCCAGACGGCGGAGAGAGAGGCUAAGCGUCGAGGUGACCUCCUGGGAAAGAAGAGGUAA
rnacentral:rRNA from 1 species